rnacentral:sRNA from 1 species
CAAUAGCCUUUGACGUCAUCCUCAAACUUGAUCCUAAGACGGGCAGAAAAAUUUCUGGUUUUGGAAGCAAUUUUUUUAAUGUACCCCAUGGGCUGACCAUAGAUAACA